UACGAAGGGGGCUAGCGUUGCUCGGAAUUACUGGGCGUAAAGGGCGCGUAGGCGGCCGAUUAAGUCGGGGGUGAAAGCCUGUGGCUCAACCACAGAAUUGCCUUCGAUACUGGUUGGCUUGAGACCGGAAGAGGACAGCGGAACUGCGAGUGUAGAGGUGAAGUUCGUAGAUAUUCGCAAGAACACCAGUGGCGAAGGCGGCUGUCUGGUCCGGUUCUGACGCUGAGGCGCGAAAGCGUGGGGAGCAAACAGG
rnacentral:rRNA from 1 species